GUAGAACUUAGCAGAGAUGCUUUGGUGCCUUCGGGAACUCUGAGACAGGUGCUGCAUGGCUGUCGUCAGCUCGUGUUGUGAAAUGUUGGGUUAAGUCCCGCAACGAGCGCAACCCUUAUCCUUUGUUGCCAGCGGCUCGGCCGGGAACUCAAAGGAGACUGCCGGUGAUAAACCGGAGGAAGGUGGGGAUGACGUCAAGUCAUCAUGGCCCUUACGGCCAGGGCUACACACGUGCUACAAUGGCGCAUACAAAGAGAAGCGACCUCGCGAGAGCAAGCGGACCUCACAAAGUGCGUCGUAGUCCGGAUUGGAGUCUGCAACUCGACUCCAUGAAGUCGGAAUCGCUAGUAAUCGUAGAUCAGAAUGCUACGGUGAAUACGUUCCCGGGCCUUGUACACACCGCCCGUCACACCAUGGGAGUGGGUUGCAAAAGAAGUAGGUAGCUUAACCUUCGGGAGGGCGCUUACCACUUUGUGAUUCAUGACUGGGGUGAAGUCGUAACAAGGUAGGCGUAGCGAG
rnacentral:rRNA from 1 species